UACGUAGGUGGCAAGCGUUGUCCGGAUUUACUGGGCGUAAAGAGCGCGCAGGCGGUCGUGCAAGUCGCGUGUGAAAGCCCCCCGGCUCAACUGGGGAGGGUCACGCGAUACUGCUCGACUCGAAGGCAGGAGAGGGAAGUGGAAUUCCCGGUGUAGUGGUGAAAUGCGUAGAUAUCGGGAGGAACACCAGUGGCGAAGGCGACUUUCUGGCCUGUUCUUGACGCUGAGGCGCGAAAGCUAGGGGAGCAAACGGG
rnacentral:rRNA from 1 species